rnacentral:tRNA from 1 species
GGGAUGGAGCUUAGUGAAAGAGUGCUUGCCUAGCAUGCAUGAGGCCCUGGGUUCAAUCCCCAGGAUCUCA